AUUCAGUGUGUGACCUCAGGCAGGUCACCAGCCUGAGCUGUGCCUUCAUUUCAUCUGUCAGACGGAUGACUCUGCCCCUCAGAGCUUGCAGACGGCAAGAAGGAAGGAAGCUGACGUUUAUUGAGGGUCUGCUCUGGGCUGCGUACCGUACACGGGUGACAUCGCCAAUUUCCCCCAGGUGAUAAGGAACAAUAUGGACUUCUUGCAGCUCCGGGAGGCAGACGCUGGAGGGCUGGUGACCUGAUCCCACAAAGCCCCGGAGGUGCUGUGGACCAACUUGCAACACAAGACGCUAGGAGGGAGGACGGCUGUUGGCAUCUGUUGACCACAAACACGUUUGCUGUGCACACUUGUGCACAUGGGUGAGCUCCGUGGGUCCAGACAUGUACAGGGCAGGUGAAUGCAUUGAGUACCAUGGGCAUUAUCCCAGGCCCACAGGCACGUGCAGUCACACACACACGUGGACAUGCCACUGCGCACCUAAGAGACACACACACACACACACACAUGCAUAUGCACACACACACAUAUGCACACACACACAGACACUGUAAACAUCAGGCUCAAAGGCCCAUCCAGGAGACCAAAGGCUGCAGGUGUCUUCACAUCACAGCCCAGGUGACCUUGUCUCUGGCUCAGGGCCCAGUGGCCUGGCCAGCUCUGGACAUCCAGUCAGCCUCACUAGCUGGCCUGGGGUCCAGGGCUCGAAAGUGGCGGAGGAAUGACCACCCACUGGCGGAGGUAGCUCCGGGGGGGUCCUUCAUCCCCGGGGCUGGUGAAGUCACACUCCACAGGGCUGCUGCAGUCAGAGCCCACAAAGCCACUGUCAAACGUGUCCAUAUCCAGGCCGGCCAGGGGUGAGCCCGCCUCACUCUCUGAGACCCCUCCAGGUGACCGGCCACCCCAGGGCAGUCCCCCAGCCCAGUCCUCCCCAUCUGCAAGGGGUGGCUUUAGUCUGUCCAGGAGGCUUCCCAGGGGCCCUCCCAGCCCAGGGCUGCCAGCUGAGACACAGCCACAGGAGAGGACUGUGGUCCCUGCACCCAAGAGUGGGUCCUCUAGGCCUGGGCUGGGCUCCAGGCCAGCAUCCAGGUCCAGGGCUGGGUAGCCGUCAUCCUCACAGCUGCAGGGCCAGGUGCAUGGCCCCUCUGCAUCUAGCACAGUCACUGUGUCAAUGGACACCAGGCCGUAUGGCCGGUCCCUCUCCUCACUGUAAGCUGAGCCCCCCAAGUUCUGGGCUGUCGGCCAGAAGCUGGGCUUGGGCACACCGUCAGACUCCACCAGCUCUGCUGGUUCUUGUAGCUCCGUGAGCUGCAGCCUCUUGGCCGGGCUCCGUGGUGGGUGGCAGCUGUACACCUCCAGGGUGGAGGGCACCUCUGGGCUCCAGGGUCCCAGCUCCAGGCUAGAGCCAGUGAAGGGUGCACCCACCCAUUUCUGUGAGAGAGAAAAAGAGAGAGUCAUAGCACAGGAUGAGGGUAAGGUGAGGGUUUAUUUUUCUUUUACUUUUAUUCUUUUGAGACAGUCUGGCUCUGCUGCCCAGGCUGGAAUGCAGUGGUGCCAUCUCGGUUCACUGCAACCUCUGCCUCCCAGGAUCAAGUGAUUCUCCUGCCUCAGCCUCCCAAGUAGCUGGGACUGCAGGCGCCUGUCACCACACCCGGCUAAUUUUUGUAUUUUUAGUAGAGACGUGGUUUCACCAUGUUGGCCAGACUGAUCUUGAACUCCUGACGUCAGGUGAUCCACCCGCCUCAGCCUCCCAAAGUGUUGGGAUUACAGGCGUGAGUCACUGUGCCCAGCCAAGGUGAGGGUUUAAACAGACAGAAAGGCAGACACAGACACAGAGACAAGACAAAGAGACAUCAAGAGAGACAGACAGAGACAUGAAGAUAGACAAAAGACACCGAGAGACAGAGAGAGAGAGAGGAAUCAGGACCACAAUGUGCUCCCACCCUAGUGGAUCCCCCUCCUACUCUGGGCCUCAGUUUCCCUACUUGUAGAAGGGAGUUGCUACCCUUAGUAGUGUGACCAGUCAGACAACUGGUGGCCCCAUAGUCCAGGCAGGGACCAAGAUUCCUGAGUCAAGGAGACAUGGGGGCAGGAGGGCCUGAGGUCUGAGGUACCCCUGAGCCAUCUCCUGCUUUCCCGCCUCCUUGAUGCUUCUUGAAACCUAGCACUCUCCUGGUUUAUGUGUCCCCACCAGACAGACACUUGGCCCCUGGACAUAAGUCUUGUCUCUUCUGUCCAUGGCUGUAGCCCCAGUGCCUAGCACAAAG
rnacentral:lncRNA from 1 species